rnacentral:rRNA from 1 species
UACGUAGGGAGCAAGCGUUGUCCGGAAUUAUUGGGCGUAAAGCGCGUGUAGGCGGCUUUGCAAGUCGGGUGUGAAAGCCCUCGGCUCAACCGAGGAAGUGCGCCCGAAACUGCAGAGCUUGAGUGCCGGAGAGGAUGGCGGAAUUCCCCAAGUAGAGGUGAAAAUUCGUAGAUAUGGGGAGGAACACCGGUGGCGAAGGCGGCCAUCUGGACGGUAACUGACGCUGAGACGCGAAAGCGUGGGGAGCAAACAGG